rnacentral:tRNA from 1 species
GCCUGGGUAGCUCAGUGGUAGAGCAGCCGCCUUGUAAGCGGCAGGUCGGGGGUUCGAAUCCCUUCCCAGGCU